CAAUAGCGUAUAUUAAAGUUGUUGCAGUUAAAAAGCUCGUAGUUGGAUUUCUGUCUCGAACGCUCGGUCCGUUCCUAUGGGAUGUGUACUAGAAUGUUUGAUUCAUUUUUGCGGCGAUCCUUUACUGGCAUUAAGUUGUCGGUGAUGUGGUCUCGCAUCGUUUACUGUGAAAAAAUUAGAGUGUUUAAAGCAGGCGUUUGCAUUGAAUACAUUAGCAUGGAAUAAUAAGAUACGACUUUGGUGGUCUAUUUUGUUGGUUUGCACACCAGAGUAAUGAUUAAUAGGGACAGUUGGGGGUAUUCAUAUUUCAGCGUCAGAGGUGAAAUUCUUGGAUCGCUGAAAGAUGAGCUUAGGCGAAAGCAUUUACCAUGGAUGUUUNCAUUAA
rnacentral:rRNA from 1 species